GAUGAACGCUAGCGGCAGGCCUAAUACAUGCAAGUCGAACGGUAACUUAGGUAGCAAUACUUGAGCAAGAGUGACGUACGGGUGCGUAACACGUAUGCAACCUACCCUUUACAGGCGGAUAGCUCGGGGAAACUCGAAUUAACCCGCCAUAAUAUAAUGAUGAGGCAUCACAUUAUUAUUAAAACUCAGGUGGUAAAGGAUGGGCAUGCGUCUGAUUAGUUAGUUGGCGGGGUAAUGGCCCACCAAGACGAUGAUCAGUAGGGGAACUGAGAGGUGGAUCCCCCACACUGGCACUGAGAGACGGGCCAGACUCCUACGGGAGGCAGCAGUAGGGAAUAUUGGUCAAUGGAUGCAAGUCUGAACCAGCCAUGCCGCGUGCAGGAAGAAGGCCUUCUGGGUUGUAAACUGCUUUUGCCAGGGGAUAAAAAUCUCAUGCGUGAGAAAUUGAAGGUACCUGGUGAAUAAGCCACGGCUAACUACGUGCCAGCAGCCGCGGUAA
rnacentral:rRNA from 1 species